CGCGUAGGCGGGGAGGUAAGUCGGGUGUGAAAUCCCUCGGCCCAACCGGGGAACUGCGCCCGAAACUGCUUCUCUUGAGUCCCGGAGAGGAAGAUGGAAUUCCCGGUGUAGCGGUGAAAUGUGUAGAGAUCGGGAGGAACACCGGUGGCGAAGGCGGUCUUCUGGACGGUGACUGACGCUGAGGCGCGAAAGCGUGGGGAGCAAACG
rnacentral:rRNA from 1 species